rnacentral:tRNA from 1 species
GGGGCUGUGGCUCAGCGGUAAAGCAUUCACCUGGCAUGUGCAAGACCCUGGGUUCGAUCCUCAGUACCACA